rnacentral:misc_RNA from 1 species
UCUAUUUGUGUACUGGGCUGG